AUCUCUUCCUGGAGAUUGUUCUUUGUGGAGUUUUUGCAAGCCUACAACACGGGAACGACAACAAAGAGUGCAACAAUGCUAUUUGAUACAGUGCAUUCUCAGCUACAAAAUGUUAAUUUUCAACCUAGUAAUCAACAUCAGCUAUGCAUUUUCACUGGUGAUGAACAGGAUAUUGCAUGCUACUCUCAGAAAAAUUUGCACUAGCAGAAGUGAACUACUGUUGCCACUGCGGAAACAUACCACUUGCCAGCUCACAUCCACUGUUUGGUCUCCAUAAACAUUCAGCAAGUGUCAAUGAAUGGCAAUGUGUGCCAUUUUUUUUGCAUGGAGGAGCUCAAUGACAUACCUUAGCUUCAGGUGCACUUCUAUGUCAGAUGCUGUUUUGUCAGGCUGCUCCUUUGCUGCCACCUGUCAUAUAGCAACAAAAUGUAAUGGAGUAUUGGUGGAAAGGCUUAACCUCUACUGCCAUACCACCAGCAUCUGUCUCUGAUGGGUGAACACAACAAAAUAGGAGGCAUAACUUUUGGAUCAGCCCUCCUAUGUAAUACAGUUAAUGUAUAUAAGCAACCUGAAUUAUUAUUUUAUGUUUUAAUUAAAAAAAUAGAGAACAGAAACAGAACUAAUGGGAUAUCUGAUCUUGUUUUUGUGACACUAAUACAUCGAUCUAGUUCAAUGGCAGUGGCCGCAAUUCUCAGUGAGCUCAAAAGGUGUUUGUCAGAGAUCUCUGAUGAAAUGUUACUCUUCCUGUGAUUCAUCCUUGAAAACAGUUGAUCAUAAAAGAAUGUAUUGCCAGAAAGCAAUAACAUGAAUAAGACGUGACUGUGAAGUGAGGGGUAUUUUUCUCUGGUCAGAUGGGGCUUAUAAAGGUCUGGUAAAAAGAGACGUGGUUGGUUUUUUGAGCUGAGUGGCUGAUUGCAACUCUGUAUAUUCCAUUUGAAAAUUUGCAGAGAACUUACUUAAGCCUACUGAAAAUGGAGUUGCAAUUAGAUAAAAAAAAUUGGUCAUUUUCCUAGCAAUCUUGAAACCUGUUUUCAAAUUCCUGAAUGAAAACAGAAAGCAUGAUGGUGAAUUUUCCACUGUUCAUAGACUGUGUUAAGACAAUGCAUCAAACCCCACUGUGCAGUUAUUGCUGGGCCGGGCUGGGCUGAACCACUGCCAUGGUGGUGCAGGGCAGGGGACUUCUGACUGCCACUCAGGCAGGGGCUGUCAUUAAGUGAAACCAAAAUGUUUUGCUUUAGUUCUGUGUUUGUCCUGACAAAUGCCAAUUCUUGUUUUCAGUUCAAGCACUGCUGUUCAUUAACUAGUCAGUUGUUGAGAGCACGUGAAAUACUGUGAGUUUUCUGAUUAUCUCAUUCAAGAGUAAAAAGUGGCUCUUUAUUGUUUUCUUGAUGAUG
rnacentral:lncRNA from 1 species